rnacentral:rRNA from 1 species
UGGGGGACCCAAAAAAACCAUGCAAGUCGAGCGGCAGCGACAACAUUGAACCUUCGGGGGAUUUGUUGGGCGGCGAGCGGCGGACGGGUGAGUAAUGCCUAGGAAAUUGCCCUGAUGUGGGGGAUAACCAUUGGAAACGAUGGCUAAUACCGCAUGAUGCCUUCGGGCCAAAGAGGGGGACCUUCGGGCCUCUCGCGUCAGGAUAUGCCUAGGUGGGAUUAGCUAGUUGGUGAGGUAAGGGCUCACCAAGGCGACGAUCCCUAGCUGGUCUGAGAGGAUGAUCAGCCACACUGGAACUGAGACACGGUCCAGACUCCUACGGGAGGCAGCAGUGGGGAAUAUUGGCACAAUGGGCGGCAAGCCUGAUGCAGGCCAUGCCGGCGUGUGUGAAGAAGGCCUUCGGGUKGUAAAGCACUUUCAGUCGUGAGGAAGGUAGUGUAGUUAAUAGCUGCAUUAUUUGACGUUAGCGACAGAAGAAGCACCGGCUAACUCCGUGCCAGCAGCCGCGGUAAUACGGAGGGUGCGAGCGUUAAUCGGAAUUACUGGGCGUAAAGCGCAUGCAGGUGGUUUGUUAAGUCAGAUGUGAAAGCCCGGGGCUCAACCUCGGAAUAGCAUUUGAAACUGGCAGACUAGAGUACUGUAGAGGGGGGUAGAAUUUCAGGUGUAGCGGUGAAAUGCGUAGAGAUCUGAAGGAAUACCGGUGGCGAAGGCGGCCCCCUGGACAGAUACUGACACUCAGAUGCGAAAGCGUGGGGAGCAAACAGGAUUAGAUACCCUGGUAGUCCACGCCGUAAACGAUGUCUACUUGGAGGUUGUGGCCUUGAGCCGUGGCUUUCGGAGCUAACGCGUUAAGUAGACCGCCUGGGGAGUACGGUCGCAAGAUUAAAACUCAAAUGAAUUGACGGGGGCCCGCACAAGCGGUGGAGCAUGUGGUUUAAUUCGAUGCAACGCGAAGAACCUUACCUACUCUUGACAUCCAGAGAACUUUCCAGAGAUGGAUUGGUGCCUUCGGGAACUCUGAGACAGGUGCUGCAUGGCUGUCGUCAGCUCGUGUUGUGAAAUGUUGGGUUAAGUCCCGCAACGAGCGCAACCCUUAUCCUUGUUUGCCAGCGAGUAAUGUCGGGAACUCCAGGGAGACUGCCGGUGAUAAACCCGGAGGAAGGUGGGGACGACGUCAAGUCAUCAUGGCCCUUACGAGUAGGGCUACACACGUGCUACAAUGGCGCAUACAGAGGGCGGCCAACUUGCGAAAGUGAGCGAAUCCCAAAAAGUGCGUCGUAGUCCGGAUUGGAGUCUGCAACUCGACUCCAUGAAGUCGGAAUCGCUAGUAAUCGUGGAUCAGAAUGCCACGGUGAAUACGUUCCCGGGCCUUGUACACACCGCCCGUCACACCAUGGGAGUGGGCUGCAAAAGAAGUAGGUAGUUUAACCUUCGGGGAGACAGUUACCUUAGAUUUUUCCC